UCCGUGAAACCACGUUCUAACUUUUUCAAACAGCAUUCAAGAUACAAGCAUGAUCAGCUAGUAUUAUCAGUGAGACACGCCCACACCCACCACCGGAAUGAAAGACUGUUACUCGGUACCCAGUAUAUAUAAGUAUUGUGUCUACGACACGGUAUAGCACAGGUAACGAGUCAUCGAUGUCCUGAAUUCAGGUGAUAGCUGCCAUCUCCGCCAUCCAUCACCGACAAUGUCCGGUUACAUGACACUGGUCAUUUUCCGAACGACCAUGGAGUGAUUUAUACAUGUACCACAUGUUGUUUUGGGUGUUUGGUGAUGAGAGGUCAACCAGUCGUGGUGCUGGUACUGUUGUUGGUCCGUGCAUCCAUGCAUCAGUCUCCUUACUACCAGCGGAUAGAGGGUUUAUACAACGUAACGGAACUCGCUUCUUUCACGGACGCCAUAUUGCACCUAGAAUACGUCGAUUAUUUGUGUAAAUUGUACGACAACAAGAUUUACCUGUACUUUGGCUCUGAUAUCAUUUCUGUAUGUAAAAAAGAGAAGCAGAAAUGGAUACCCCUUUUGCUGUUAUUUACCCUUUGCUUGAAACCCACAAGAGAUGCAGUGGUGAAUAUAAUCGACGAUAUACUCCCAGACCCCGUCACCACGACCACGCCUAUACCACCCGUCACUCCGGCGGGGUAAACCGGUUCCGAAUGAAUUAUGGGUCUCAACAGAACUUCAGAUAGACAAACCAGCAACUUUCAUACUUUUGUGAUAUUUAGAAGAAUACCCAGCAUUUUAUGAUUACGGCUUAAAACAACUGUAAUGAUGUAAAUUGCCCUUAAGCCUACUCCAUGCUGUGUACAUUGCAUGUUGUGUGCAUUGCAUGUUUUGUACAUUGCAUGUUUUGGCAUGUCUACUACUAAAACCAAACACGUGUUAUGCACAUGUAAUUAAAAAUUACCUGCAGCUUCAAAACUUUGAUUGUUUAUUUGAGGAAAUAAUAGAAUAUAGUUAUUAAAGACUUAUAUAUCGUAAAAACAAUGAUAACUUUAGUGCAACUGUACGAUUGUCAAAUAUAUUAAAACUUGCAAUGUA